rnacentral:rRNA from 1 species
UACGUAGGGGGCAAGCGUUAUCCGGAUUUACUGGGUGUAAAGGGAGCGUAGACGGCAGAGCAAGUCUGAAGUGAAAGCCCGCGGCCCAACCGCGGGACUGCAUUGGGAACUACCGGGCUGGAGUGCCGGAGAGGUAGGCGGAAUUCCUAGUGUAGCGGUGAAAUGCGUAGAUAUUAGGAGGAACACCAGUGGCGAAGGCGGUCUGCUGGACAGCAACUGACGCUGAGGCGCGAAAGCGUGGGGAGCAAACAGG